UACAUGGGGUGCAAACGUUGCUCGGAAUUAUUGGGCGUAAAGCGCGCGUAGGCGGUUACUUAAGUCGGAUGUGAAAGCCCUCGGCUUAACUGAGGAAGUGCACCCGAAACUGAGUAGCUAGAGUACGAAAGAGGGUCGCGGAAUUCCCGGUGUAGAGGUGAAAUGCGUAGAUAUCGGGAGGAACAUCAGUGGCGAAGGCGGCCCUCUGGUCCAGUACUGACACUCAAGUGCGAAAGCGUGGGGAGCAAACAGG
rnacentral:rRNA from 1 species